rnacentral:ncRNA from 1 species
GUGACUCUGGAGAAGCUCUCUACCACAGGAGUGCCGAAGGUGCAACACGGGCCGUUCCCGUGAAUCUCUCAGGCAAAAGGACAGAGGAGGA